rnacentral:lncRNA from 1 species
UAUUGCUAAGCUCUUCUGAAUACACUUUCGGUUUCCGCUGGGGUGAAUUGACUAGUGCAUGUAAUCUUUAAAUGAUCUGAUUGAUACUGCGUGCUAGGAAGACAAAAACCUCUCUUUAAUAAGUAAAGAGAAGAAAUCUAGUUUGGAGAUUUUAAUGAAGAAGAGCUUCAGGUGUUAAAAGAGAAACCCUGGAAAAUGCUUGAAGGUGACUGAGUGAGAUGUCUAGCCACCCCUGAGGUAAGGAGGUACCACCAGAGAAAGUAAUAGCUCUCAAAUCUGUGCUGGGUCACAUGGACCUGGAAGCGAUCUGUGUCCCAGGAGGAGUUUGACACCGCGGCUGGGGAACCUCUGCACUAACACCAAC